rnacentral:pre_miRNA from 1 species
ACGAGGAACAGCCCCAGUGGCGGGGCAGCUCUGGAGCCCUGGAUUCAGCCCCCGCAGGAACUCCGGAGCUCUCCGUCUGCAGGGCCUGGAGGCUCCGGGGCGGG